rnacentral:rRNA from 1 species
AUGUCGCACGUGUCACUUGCCAAAUGGACUCUUGACAUGGUGAUGUUCGUAGGAUGCUCCGCAUCACUUGAGUGGGCGGACCCUUCUCGCUUGUGGGUUGGGCUUGGAAAUCCAUGUGACAAGGACGACAAAGCUUUUUUCUACGCCUCCACUACCAUCACGAUUGGUGAUGGGGCGCGUGCCCCAUUUUGGGAGUCCCCAUGGCUCAAUGGGAGGAAACCAAAAGACAUUGCCCUGCUCAUUUUUUACGCCUCCAAGAGGAAAACCUGGAAGGUCAGGGAGGCAUUAUCACAGAAUGCCUCGAUCGCCAAGAUCAAUAUGACGACAAUAUUCACACUCGAGCAUAUUUGGCAAUUCCAAGAGCUUUGGUUUCUCCUUCGCGGAGUGCAGCUAGAAGCGGGCGUGGAGGAUACUAUAUUGUGGAAACACACGACCUGUGGGAGCUACUCGGCGUCUUCGGCUUAUAAUGUGCACUACUUGACCAUCACCCGUUCUGUCAUGUACAAAGUUGCCUAG